AUUGAACGCUGGCGGCAGGCCUAACACAUGCAAGUCGAGCGGAUGAAGGGAGCUUGCUCCUGGAUUCAGCGGCGGACGGGUGAGUAAUGCCUAGGAAUCUGCCUGGUAGUGGGGGAUAACGUCCGGAAACGGGCGCUAAUACCGCAUACGUCCUGAGGGAGAAAGUGGGGGAUCUUCGGACCUCACGCUAUCAGAUGAGCCUAGGUCGGAUUAGCUAGUUGGUGGGGUAAAGGCCUACCAAGGCGACGAUCCGUAACUGGUCUGAGAGGAUGAUCAGCCACAGUGAACCGGAAACACGCCCCACACUCCGACGGGCGGCAGCGGUGGGGAAUUUGGGAGAAGGGUGAAAAGCCUACCCCAGCCAGCCGCGGGGUUGAAAAAAGGUCUUAGGAUUUAAAGCAUAUUUAAGGUGGGAGAAAGGAUAUUAAUUAAAUCCCUUGCUUUUUUAAGUUUCCCAAAAAAAAAAACUCCGACUAAUUCCGUC
rnacentral:rRNA from 1 species